UUUUUUUCCAAACAUCGCCUCUUGCUAAAACAUAAGAGGUCCCGCCUGCCCCGUGACUUAGUUUAACGGCCGCGGUAUCUUAACCGUGCAAAGGUAGCACAAUAAAUUGUUCUCUAAAUAAGGACUAGAAUGAAUGGCAUCACGAAGGCUCAACUGUCUCCCCCCUCUGAUCAAUGAAACUGAUCUUCUCGUGAAGAAGCGAGAAUAAAUAUAUAAGACGAGAAGACCCCAUGGAGCUUUAAACUCAUAACCAAUUACUUAAAUCCAAAUCACAAAAAAUAGUAAACUUGUUCUACCAUAGUUUUCGGCUGGGGUGACCCUGGAGUAAAAUAAAUCCUCCAGAGUGAACGGAGUAAAAUCCUAAUAGUAGAGCUACAGCUCGAAUAAUCAAAAUAAUUGACACUAAUGAUCCAACCUGUUGAUCAACGAAACAAGUUACCCUGGGGAUAACAGCGCAAUCCAUUUCAAGAGCCCCUAUCGACGAAUGGGUUUACGACCUCGAUGUUGGAUCGGGAUAUCCAGGUGGCGCAGCCGCUACCAACGGUUCGUUUGUUCAACGAUUAACAAUCCCACGUGAUUGAUUUUAAA
rnacentral:rRNA from 1 species